rnacentral:lncRNA from 10 species
CAGGCCCAGGGGUACCAGGCAGACAGAGAACAUGGAGAUCGGGUACAAAUACAGUCAGUUCAGAGUUGACACUCACUUUCAAGGAUGUUUUGUCCUGGCUGAUUCCGAUGGCGUGUGAAUUGCUGGUCUGGAUCCCGGGAUUCAUGACUACAACCCCAAAAUACGGCACUUCUGCCUGUGUGGAAACAACAGAAGCAGGAAGAUUACUCUCAUUUUUCUCUGGCCUUUUUCCCUUGAAGCAGACUAUAAAGAAGAAUCUGACCUUCCUCUGAAGGAAACCUUCAUUCCAGACAUACCCUCCCUAUAUCCAAAGAACAUCUUUAUCUUUAAAGACACAGAGAUGUCAAGAAGAAUCUGAACAAACAGGCUUUGCCAGAUCCCCCAGUUUACUAAUAUUGAACCAUACUCUUUUGUUCUUCAAUCAUACUUCUGCAUGAUGUCCAUAAAAAUACACAGUUUUCCCCAUUCCUUUUGGGUAUUUAUUCCCGAAAGCUUCUGUGUCAUGUAAAACUUACAUUAAAUAAAUUUGUAUGCUUUU